AUGCGGGAGGAUAUCCAUGACCUUGACCUCGCCCAUUGGAGAUUGGCUAGAGAGACAUGGAGAACUGAGCGAGGAAACAUGAGGGAGAUUAAGGCGCUGUAUGGAGAAAUAUUUAGGCUGCACCAACUCUUGGCGGAGAUUGGGGUGGAUAAAGGGGUGAUCAAGCAGCGCUCCACCUCCUCCAUUAUUUGUCCCGUCUCCCCGACACUGCCAGCUUUCCCCUGGUACAACCCACCACAGGUACCUCGCCAACAGCCAAUCGGAGCCUGACCAGCAUGCUGCGGCACCCAGAAGGACCCACCUAAGAAACACUCAAUCUUUCCCCUCUGGACAACAGAGCUGCACCUCCCCUGAUAAAUGGCCUCAUUCUCCGUCCAAGACGUCACACCCACACGCUUCACACCGAUUUGCUGUCCCAUCCCACCUCUGGCUUCCGGCCCUCCUGCCCGGAUGAGACAGACCCAUCCGCAGGUCCAACCCAGUCCCCAUUGACUGGCCAGGCAAAGUCAAGGAUGAGUAAGAGCCAGAGACUGCAUCGUCUGAGGAAUUGCUGAGGAAGUUCAACGGAGAGGAGCAGAAAUUGCAAGCAUGUAUAAAGCACAGCUGAAAGAGAGGAUGGCCCAAAAGAGAAAGGAAGAGAUUCUGAAGAAAAUGGCAAACAGCGAUGACAAGAACGAUGACACUGAGGCCUCCUGCCCUGCAGUAAAACGAUCUAAUACCCCUGCCACAGCCCCCGAGCGCCCGGCCAGCCCAGAGGCCACGCCAUGGCCGCCCGAGAGGACACUCAGGGGGACACCCAGCAGGACCUGGCAGAGGUGUGAAUGUGCUCAAGAGGCAAUCAUCUGAUCUAUACCUGCCUGACGAGUUGUGAGGAGUCACUCACAUGGAAAUCCAUUUACGAGGAGCUGUGCCCCUCGCUCACAGAGGUGAACACAGAAGCUGACUACAUCAAGGCGCUCCGCGUCAUCACUGAGAAGCUGUGACUCCCGUGCUCGUCGGAGGAUGAUGUGUCCAGAGUGUGUGAGGACACAAGUCAGGAGGGGAGUAGUGAAAGUGAGGAGAGCAUGAGUGGACAACAGCAGAGAGGUCUACACAGGGACCUUGGUAAGAGGGACAGGAAGAGAGUGAUAGUGGAAAUGGAAGGGAGAUUUGCAACCGCCAGGCAAUGUCUAUGAUGGCGAGCCGAGGGAUAGAGAACUUAAUGCCAUGAGCUACGCAGACAGGACAAAUAUUUCAAGUAUGAGGCUAAGAGAAAUGAAGAGAUGAGAAGAUUGAAAGGAGGAAGGAAAAAGCCAGGGACGAAGAGCUCAAAAAGUGGGAAAAAGGCAGAAGAAAUUGAAUGAGGAGGAAAGGAAAAGGACAGAAAAUAUGGAACAAAACAAGUUAGAGGAGCAG
rnacentral:lncRNA from 1 species